AUUUUAGGGAGAUGCUUGUAAGGACGUAGUUGGUAUGCUUUACAAAAAGAUUGAACCAGCUGGAGUACUAAACGCCUGUUACUAAGUGUGCGGUACUUGAGAUGUAAUUAGUAACUGAGCUUGGAGACACCUGCCUAGGAUUUGCUUUGGACCGGAGUUCGAUUCUCCGCACCUCCACCA
rnacentral:tmRNA from 1 species